UACGUAGGGGGCUAGCGUUGUCCGGAUUUAUUGGGCGUAAAGAGCGUGUAGGCGGCCAGGUAGGUCUGCUGUGAAAACUCGAGGCUCAACUUCGAGCUGUCGGUGGAAACUUUCUGGCUAGAGUCCGGAAGAGGAGAAUGGAAUCCCUGGUGUAGCGGUGAAAUGCGCAGAUAUCAGGAAGAACACCCGUGGCGAAGGCGGUUCUCUGGGACGGUACUGACGCUGAGACGCGAAAGCGUGGGGAGCGAACAGG
rnacentral:rRNA from 1 species